rnacentral:tRNA from 1 species
UCGGGGAUCGUCUAAUGGUAGGACAACUGGUUUUGGUCCAGUCAAUUGGGGUUCGAUUCCCUAUCCCCGAGCCA